UACGGAGGGGGCUAGCGUUGUUCGGAAUUACUGGGCGUAAAGCGCACGUAGGCGGCUUUGUAAGUUAGAGGUGAAAGCCCAGGGCUUAACCCUGGAAUUGCCUUUAAGACUGCAUCGCUAGAAUCGUGGAGAGGUGAGUGGAAUUCCGAGUGUAGAGGUGAAAUUCGUAGAUAUUCGGAAGAACACCAGCGGCGAAGGCGACUCACUGGACACGUAUUGACGCUGAGGUGCGAAAGCGUGGGGAGCAAACAGG
rnacentral:rRNA from 1 species